rnacentral:rRNA from 1 species
AGAUUGAACGCUGGCGGCAUGCCUUACACAUGCAAGUCGAACGGCAGCACGGGAGCAAUCCUGGUGGCGAGUGGCGAACGGGUGAGUAAUAUAUCGGAACGUGCCCAGUCGUGGGGGAUAACGCAGCGAAAGCUGUGCUAAUACCGCAUACGAUCUAUGGAUAGAAAGGCGGGGGAUCGACAAGACCUCGCGCGAGUUGG